CAGUGACUUCAGGCAGUUUAAAAUAGUCUCAGGGGUUACGAGAGGCUUCUCAGGCACAGAAUGCAGUUUCAGCACAUCAAUCAUCCCUUUCUGCUGUUUCUGCAAGAGAUGGAAUAUCUUGAUUUGAAAACAUCUUUCUAACACAAAGCAGUUUCAGUGCUCUUGUAUUUUGAGAAGACUUUACAAGGAAUGACCUGAAAAGUGGAAGAAUCUUAGAAAGAUUGCCUUUACUGUAAAGCAUGAUGUGGUACCUCUGCAGUCCAAUGAAGUGUCUG
rnacentral:lncRNA from 1 species